AUUGAACGCUGGCGGCAGGCUUAACACAUGCAAGUCGAGCGAGCGGCGGACGGGUGAGUAAUGUCUGGGAAACUGACUGAUGGAGGGGGAUAACUACUGGAAACGGUAGCUAAUACCGCAUACCCUCAGAUGUGCACAGAUGGGAGUAGCUAGUAGGUGGGGUAAUGGCUCACCUAGGCGACGCUCCCUAGCUGGUGUGAGAGGAUGACCAGCCACCCAGGAACUGAGACACGGUCCAGACUCCUACGGGAGGCAGCAGUGGGGAAUAUGGCACAAUGGGCGCAAGCCUGAUGCUGCCAGGCCGCGGGUGUGAAGAAGGCUUUCGGGUUGUAAAGCACUUUCAGCGAGGAGGCGUUACUCGCAGAAGAAGCACCGGCUAACUCCGUGCCAGCAGCCGCGGUAAUUC
rnacentral:rRNA from 1 species